rnacentral:ncRNA from 1 species
AAACAAAGCAUUGCGAUGGCCGCUGGUCGGUGUUGACGCAAUGUGAUUUCUGCCCAGUGCUCUGAAUGUCAACGUGAAGAGAUUCAUCAAAGCGCGGGUAAACGGCGGGAGUAACUAUGACUCUCUUGUGAGACACUUGGGACACAGAAGUCCAUGCCGGCUGUUACCGCAUGGACAUGU